UACGUAGGGCGCAAGCGUUGUCCGGAAUUAUUGGGCGUAAAGAGCUCGUAGGCGGCUUGUCACGUCGGUUGUGAAAGCCCGGGGCUUAACCCCGGGUCUGCAGUCGAUACGGGCGGGCUAGAGUUCGGUAGGGGAGAUCGGAAUUCCUGGUGUAGCGGUGAAAUGCGCAGAUAUCAGGAGGAACACCGGUGGCGAAGGCGGAUCUCUGGGCCGAUACUGACGCUGAGGAGCGAAAGCGUGGGGAGCGAACAGG
rnacentral:rRNA from 1 species